rnacentral:rRNA from 1 species
GACGAACGCUGGCGGCGUGCUUAACACAUGCAAGUCGAACGGAAAGGCCCUGCUUUUGUGGGGUGCUCGAGUGGCGAACGGGUGAGUAACACGUGAGUAACCUGCCCUUGACUUUGGGAUAACUUCAGGAAACUGGGGCUAAUACCGGAUAGGAGCUCCUGCUGCAUGGUGGGGGUUGGAAAGUUUCGGCGGUUGGGGAUGGACUCGCGGCUUAUCAGCUUGUUGGUGGGGUAGUGGCUUACCAAGGCUUUGACGGGUAGCCGGCCUGAGAGGGUGACCGGCCACAUUGGGACUGAGAUACGGACCAGACUCCUAAGGGAGGCAGGAGUGGGGAAUAUUGCACAAUGGGCGGAAGCCUGAUGCAGCAACGCAGCGUGCGGGAUGAAGGCCUUCGGGUUGUAAACCGCUUUCGCCUGUGACGAAGCGUGAGUGACGGUAAUGGGUAAAGAAGCAACGGCUAACUACGUG